GUGAAUCAUCAAAUUUUUGAACGCAAAUUGCACUCUCCUCGGAGAGUAUGCCUGUUUGAGGGUCAGCCUAAAAAAAAUCGACAUUGUUGCUGUUUUAUGGUGACUUUCGUCGGAGAUGGGUUAUCUUAAAUCUCGGUUUAAGCGACUUAAAAAUUUUUUUACGGUUCUAAGGAUGGUUUUAAAGUUUUUUUUUGUCGUUUAAAGUUAUCGAUUUUCU
rnacentral:misc_RNA from 1 species